rnacentral:lncRNA from 1 species
GGAUUGGCAAUGGUACUGUUUGGAUUGAUUCCGUGUUCGGUUCUUGUACCUAAUUGAUCAUUAAUAUGUCCACUGAAUUUAAUAUUUUCUGUUUCGUUUUGGUAUAUACCAUUAUUAUAGCCAUUAUGGUUCUUAUUAUGUUCGUAUAACGCACUGUUACUGUCACUAUUGUCACUGGUGUCACUGGUGUCAGUAUCCAAAUAUGAAGUACUACAACUUUCAUCAGUUGAUCCUAUACUAUUAUUAUUAUUAUUUGUAAAAUUGUUAUUAUAAUAAAUGUUAUUAUUAUCUUGAUGUGAUGAAUUAUUAUGUAUAUGUGUAUUUUUUUUAAUCCUAUAAUAUUUUCACUUGAUGAUACAUUAAUAAACUUUUUUAACUUUUUAAAUAAAAUACCAACAAUACUUAUAUUGUUAAUAAAAUGGUGUAUACCUAUACUUACUUUUCUAUUAUGUACAUAAAAACUUUUUUUUUUUUUUGUGUGUUUUUUUUUUUUUUUUUUUUUCUUUUUGUACAUAAAGUUGUGUGUUUGCAUCGGUAUUGUCGUACUCAACAGGAUGCAUGCCCCGAUUUAAAUCUGCAUAAUUAUCAAUCAUAUUUGAUCGAUCUGCAUAAUUAUCUACAAUGUUUGGCCUCUUUGUUAUAUUCAUACGUUCGUCCAUACGUCCAUCCACACGUUCGUCCACACGUCCAUCCAUACGUUCGUCCAUACGUCCAUCCACACGUUCGUCUAUCGAUUGUUGUAUUUUAUUGGACUGACCUAUUACAUCCACAUAUUGUUGAUUCGAAAUAUUAAUAGAAUCUAAUGUUUUAUUUUUUAUUUGUGUAUGUUCCUCACUUUUACAUUCAUUUUCAUAAGUUUUUAAUUUUAAUAAAACAUAUAAUAUGUAUUUAUAAUUAAUAUUA